AACGAACGCUGGCGGCAUGCCUAACACAUGCAAGUCGAACGAGACCUUCGGGUCUAGUGGCGUACGGGUGCGUAACGCGUGGGAACCUGCCCUUAGGUUCGGAAUAACUCCCCGAAAGGGGUGCUAAUACCGGAUAAUGUCUUCGGACCAAAGAUUUAUCGCCUUUGGAUGGGCCCGCGUUGGAUUAGCUAGUUGGUAGGGUAAAAGCCUACCAAGGCGACGAUCCAUAGCUGGUCUGAGAGGAUGAUCAGCCACACUGGGACUGAGACACGGCCCAGACUCCUACGGGAGGCAGCAGUGGGGAAUAUUGGACAAUGGGCGAAAGCAUGAUCCAGCAAUGCCGCGUGAGUGAUGAAGGCCUUAGGGUUGUAAAGCUCUUUUACCCGGGAUGAUAAUGACAGUACCGGGAGAAUAAGCUCCGGCUAACUCCGUG
rnacentral:rRNA from 1 species